GAGUGUAAGAGCACAGAUGACAAUGCAGAGCAGUUCUGGGUGGAAGUAUACAAUUUUCAAGACAGUAGUGGUGAAGGAUGGUUUAAAGAAUUAGCCCUGUUUGCACUUUCCCUACUCGCCAUGCCUCUGAAUAACGCUGAUGUGGAAUGAUGAUCAUCUGAGAGAACACAUGUGAAGUCCAAGCACCAGAACAGGAUGGGUCACCGGACUCUGAGCAAUAUACUGCAUGUCCGCUAUGGGUUACGAAGACUGGGGAUUUGUUGUAAGGAUUUUGUCCCACACUGUGGUAUGCUUCAGUGGUUCAACACAGAAAUGUACCACAUUGAGGCAACAGAGACCAUGAAGGAGGGAGAGAGUGAAGAUGACCAUUUUUAAUCAUGACUUGAUUGUGGGGAGGCUGACCCUGUGCAGUCCUUGCUGGAAAUCCUCAGUCACUGAAUUUUGGGUCUCCAUGUGCUUUUCUAUGGGAGUUGAGGUUUUUAGGCACUAGGAGAAAGACAAUGAAGUCACCCAAAAGUUACACUUAUACCUUGCAUUCAGUAUCUAAUUCAGUGUCAAUAGCAUUGUUGUUGCUAUGACAGGGACAAAUCUCUUUUUUCUAGGUCUUUUCUCCUGUAGGUGAUACCCAGCUGCUGGAUUUUCCGAGUGGAGGGUAUCUAGCAAACUUAGGUGCCAGAAACAGAGAACUGUGUCUU